GACGAACGCUGGCGGCGUGCUUAACACAUGCAAGUCGAACGGAAAGGCCCUGCGUUUGUGGGGUGCUCGAGUGGCGAACGGGUGAGUAACACGUGAGUAAACUGCCCUUGACUUUAGGAUAACUUCAGGAAACUGGGGCUAAUACCGGAUAGGAGCUCCUGCUGCAUGGGGGGGGUUGGAAAGAUUCGGCGGUUGGGGAUGGACUCGCGGCUUAUCAGCUUGUUGGUGGGGUAGUGGCUUACCAAGGCUUUGACGGGUAGCCGGCCUGAGAGCGUGACCGGCCACAUUGGGACUGAGAUACGGCCCAGACUCCUACGGGAGGCAGCAGUGGGGAAUAUUGCACAAUGGGCGGAAGCCUGAUGCAGCAACGCCGCGUGCGGGAUGACGGCCUUCGGGUUGUAAACCGCUUUCGCCUGUGACGAAGCGUGAGUGACGGUAAUGGGUAAAGAAGCACCGGCUAACUACGUG
rnacentral:rRNA from 1 species